rnacentral:tRNA from 1 species
UCCCGGGUCGUCUAAUGGUAGGACAGCUGGUUUUGGUCCAGUCAAUUGGAGUUCGAAUCUCUACCCGGGAACCA